rnacentral:lncRNA from 1 species
CCAAACUUGACCUGACCCUAUUGUGCGAGUAGCAUCAGAUGAAUCUAAGAGAUUAUUGUCCUUAAAAGGGUAGAGAGAACCAUAAUCAAUAAUUAUAUAAUAAUAAAAGCCGUCUGGUGUAGCCCAAAUUUUCUUAAGGUCUAUUCUUGAUUCAGUUAAUGACAAAGGCGCUCCAGUUUUUCAGUUGCGUCUUUCCUUAUGAAAGGAUCGUACUCGAAUCCAAAUAGAACAAAAAUGUAUAUGGGCUCCACCUGCUAAUGAGCUAAUGUUUACCUAUUCUUAAAAGGCUGGUAUUUACUUCGUUGGAUAAAACUAAGGCUUCCCAAGUCCAAACUGGUUGCUGGUUUCAUAGUUCCUCACGAUCAAGUUUGGAAUAUCUCUAUUUUCCAACAACACUUUGACCAACACAUCGUUAAGGAGAUUAUUAAUAUCCCAUUAAGUCAUGCUCCUUCAGCCGAUCAUCUCAUCUGGACAGGCACACAAACAGGUCAGUAUUCAGUUAAAUCUGCCUACCACAUCCUCAGACAAUCAGAUUACCCUACAAACAGCAAUCUACCCUUAUCCUCUUAUCAGCCAUCAGCCCGUCUCUGGCGAUAUAUCUGGAAUCUCAAGACUCCCCCUAGGAUUAAAGUUUUUAUCUGGUCAUUGUGUCAUAAUGCUCUCCCUACUAAAGCCAAUCUCUUCCGAAGACACAUUUUACAUGACCCUCUAUGUCAGCUCUGUUCUAUGCACACAUCUGAAACCACUGAACACAUUCUGUUAUUUUGCCCAUGGACAUCAAAAAUCUGGUCUCACUACAGAGUACAAAUUGAUCAUUCAGCCUAUAGCAGAAAGCGAAUAGAUGCGUGGCUUGAGGAAGUUUUUGAAAAUCAGUCAAGUUUACCUUCCAAGGAGAUCAUCGCCUCCAUCCUUUGGCACUUAUGGAAGGCGCGCAACCAUUUCACUUUUCGACAGCAGCGAACCGCUCCUGAUCAGCUUGUAGAUGUGGCGCUUGCUGAAGCAUCGCUGUACAGAAACUCUUUGCAGCAAUCAGCCAGUACAGGAUCUGCUUUGCUCAACCCUAAUCGACUUUGGACUCCACCGGAUCGAGGCAGUUUCAAGGAAAAUAUUGAUGGGGCUUUUCCCUCUGAUACCAACAUGGGUGCAAUCGUGUGUGUCCUCAAGGAUCACACCGGUAUUUUGAUCGACGGAUUUAGCAGCACAGUUCGUGCGUCUUCAGCCCUGCAAUGCGAAGUAAGCCCUAAUUUCCACCCUCACUUAUUUGCUAGAACAGGGCAAGGAAGAAGCUCACCUCAUUAUUGAGUCUGACUGUCUGACUCUUGUGGAGACACUCAACGAUCGCCGUUCCUCACCAUGGGAGAUCCGAGCUUUUGUAGCAGACGUUUCUGCGUUGCGUCUCUCCUUCCCUCACUUGCGGAUUCAACACUACCGAAGAGAAGCUAAUGCUGC